GUGCAAUUUCUCUUUUAAAAAAUGGUUACCUUGAUGCUCCUGGAUAAGACUAAAUGAAGCCUCAAGUGAAGUCUUAAGAAAGAUCCCUUUAGCCAUCUGAUGAGGCCUAUGGAUCCCUUUUCAGAAUGUUUUUUAAAUGGAUUAAACAAAAUACAUAGAAAGGCAAAGGAAACCAUUGUAUUGAAUAGGAAGAGAUGUUGAAGUAAGAAACACUUGAAGACAUCCAACUACCCUCCAAACAACCACAGAAGAACAAUGCCUCAGAAAGAGUACUAGAUUAGCAGAACCAACAGAAGAAUGGGCAAAGUCCAGAACAAUGUGGAAAGGCACCAAAAAAGGACUCAUCUUACUGAAGUACCUGAAGAGAGCACUGAACAGGACAGAACAGUGACCCAGUACAGGCAGUAGGAGAGGAACUCAGUCCAAGAAGCUCCAGUCUCAGCAGGACUAGGCAGAGCCCAAACAGCUGCAGAUCUCCAUGCAGCAGCCCAACCAGAUCACGUUUGUUUGCAGAGUGAUCAAUCCAAGACUCAGACAGCUGAGCCCAUCCCAGGGACCAUUCCAGCACAAGACAGUUCUCUUUCCACCCAAGGAUGGAGCAACACUUCAUCCAACAGACAUGUUCAUGAGAAGAACUAUUUUGUAUUUUGAAUCAGAGACCAACAAGUGAUUUAUGAGCUAAAUAUACAAAGUAUUCAAUGUGCAUUUUAUUCCCAUUUGUUUUAUAUGUUUGAUUAAUACAAAUUCUUGU